GAACCUGAUCCCCAGAAACUUGACAGUGAACUUCAGAGGUGCCCUUUGCCAAACAUACCACAUUUUUCUGAAAAGGAAGUGAGAGAUGCCUUACGGAAAGACAUAUCAUCCCAUUGUUGUUAUAGCCAAAGGCCUGUUAGAGACAUGUGCAUCACUGACAUUAAGCAUUCCAUUGCAUUUCACUAUACAUUAGAAACAUUUACUGAAAUCAGGACAACAUGU